rnacentral:rRNA from 1 species
GGUUAAGUUAGAAAGGGCGCACGGUGGAUGCCUUGACACUAGGAGUCGAUGAAGGACGGGACUAACGCCGAUAUGCUUCGGGGAGCUGUAAGUAAGCUUUGAUCCGAAGAUUUCCGAAUGGGGAAACCCACCAUACGUAAUGGUAUGGUAUCCUUAUCUGAAUACAUAGGGUAAGGAAGACAGACCCAGGGAACUGAAACAUCUAAGUACCUGGAGGAAGAGAAAGCAAAUGCGAUUUCCUGAGUAGCGGCGAGCGAAACGGAACAUAGCCCAAACCAAGAGGCUUGCCUCUUGGGGUUGUAGGACAUUCUAUACGGAGUUACAAAGGAACGAGGUAGACGAAGCGACCUGGAAAGGUCCGUCGUAGAGGGUAACAACCCCGUAGUCGAAACUUCGUUCUCUCUUGAAUGUAUCCUGAGUACGGCGGAACACGUGAAAUUCCGUCGGAAUCUGGGAGGACCAUCUCCCAAGGCUAAAUACUCCCUAGUGAUCGAUAGUGAACCAGUACCGUGAGGGAAAGGUGAAAAGAACCCCGGAAGGGGA